CGAGACGCAUUCUAAAGCGCCUGCAAGCGGUUGCAUCGAGAAACCUCAGAGCCCUGUAAGACCAUACCGCUCGUUUCACAAAGAUUUUAAGCGCCUGGACCGCGGCCAUACAACUGGACAACUCCAGUUUGGUACCUACCGCCGAGGUCACCGGCGGCGGCUUUGGCCCCUUCCAGGUUUCUGGCAAUGAUCGCCAGGCGGUAGCCUUUCCGGGCCAUUAACUGGGCCACAGCCCUGCCAAUGCCUCGGGAGCCUCCAAAAAUAGCACACACUUUGUCCAUCUCGGAGUCACAAACUCGGCGGAAAGAGGGAGGAGAGUGGGAGUCCCCUUCCAAGUUCCGUCAAGCUUUUGAACCACCGCGGUUCCAAAGGAAAAACAAAAGGCAACCCGCAGAAAAAAAAACCCCGCUCGGCACCGACACCUCUUGCGGCCCGACUCUGGUAAUGCAAGAGGCGUAAAAAGGGGAGAAGAGCUCGGCGACGCCGCGUCGACGUCAUCACGUACGGACUCUUCCGUGCCGCGCCUAACAAGAUGCUGCAGAAAUGGACCUCUACCCGCCCAGAUGUUACCGUUCAUCGCGAAGGGUGUCGUGAAGAUGAAUGCCCUGUCGAACAUCAUCCAGCAGGAGGUCAAGGAAUUUUAACUGAAUGAUUGAAUAGUUUUGCAAGAUCUAUGAAACAAGCUUCGGCUGCUGUAGAGAAACAAAAAUGGGUUCCUGCAAUUCUAAAGAUGUGCUGGGUGCUCUGACAGUUAAUAAGCUAAAAAAUUCAAUGUUUGUUACAAACAUAGUGUAAAAAGAAAGCAUUUCUUGAUACAAUAUUAUUUUACUAGAUGAUUCAGAAAAGUAUGAACCAUGAUCCCUACCACUAAAAAAAACUACACCCCAGAACUACAGGACUAAUACACAUGAAACACUAGGAGGUAUCCAAAAUCAUACUUAGUAAAAUGUAAAAUUAUAUUAACACAAGAGCUCCGAGAAAACGGAGAUCAGUGAAGAAUGAAGGCAUGCAUGGAAAAGCUGGAUUUGAGGGCUGGGUGAGGUUUGAAAAAAGGAAAAUAAGAGCAAAAAGUCUAUAAAAAAGCAAGUUGAGCAUUAUUUUAAAUUUGUUAUUCCUAUUCCAUUUAGAGCCAAUAAAAGUUUUGAAAUGGUUUGCAAAAA